CCUACGGGAGGCUGCAGUGGGGAAUAUUGGACAAUGGGAGGAACCCUGAUCCAGCCAUGCCGCGUGUGUGAAGAAGGCCCUCGGGUUGUAAAGCACUUUCAGUGAGGAAGAACGCCUGGUGGUUAAUACCCAUCAGGAAAGACAUCACUCACAGAAGAAGCACCGGCUAACUCCGUGCCAGCAGCCGCGGUAAUACGGAGGGGGCGAGCGUGAAUCGGAAUUACUGGGCGUAAAGCGCGCGUAGGUGGCUUGAUAAGCCGGUUGUGAAAGCCCCGGGCUCAACCUGGGAACGGCAUCCGGAACUGUCAAGCUAGAGUGCAGGAGAGGAAGGUAGAAUUCCCGGUGUAGCGGUGAAAUGCGUAGAGAUCGGGAGGAAUACCAGUGGCGAAGGCGGCCUUCUGGACUGACACUGACACUGAGGUGCGAAAGCGUGGGUAGCAAACAGGAUUAGAUACCCCAGUAGUC
rnacentral:rRNA from 1 species